AAGUCUGUAACAAGGUCUCCGUUGGUGAACCAGCGGAGGGAUCAUUAGAGGGUCGCAAGACUUCCCUAAUACUUAACCAACCCGCGUACCUGCCCGAGGGAAUCAGUACGAUGCCUCGGUCGGCGGCCCCAGGGGGGGCCUCUGCCCAUCGCGCCUCUCGGGGUGCGAGGGUGCCGGCCGGCGGCCAAACUAAACUUGACAUAUAAUAAGCAUAAACUCUUAUAACAAUAACCAUUACAACCUGCAACGAUGGAUCUCUUGGCUCUGGCAUCGAUGAAGAACGCAGCGAAAUGCGAUACGUAAUGUGAAUUGCAGAUCUCUCAGUGAAUCAUCGAAUCUUUGAACGCACAUAGCGCCCGCCGGCCAUUCCGGCGGGCAUGCCUGUCCGAGCGUCGAUGACGCCCUUCGAGCCCCGCGCUCGGUGUUGGGGCACUAGGGAGCCGCAGGGUUCCCUAGGCCUCCAAGAAGAAGUGCGCGGUCCGGCUGCGGGCUCCGGGUACAGUAACUUCACUGUGAGAUGCCCUGGGAGAAGCAGCUGGCCCUGCCGUAAAACCCCCGACAUAGGCUCCUCAACCACUGAGGACCGCCACAUGUUGACCUCGGAUCAGGUAGGACUACCCGCUGAACUUAA
rnacentral:rRNA from 1 species